UACAGAGGUCCCAAGCGUUGUUCGGAUUCACUGGGCGUAAAGGGUGCGUAGGUGGUGAGGUAAGUCGGAUGUGAAAGCUCGGAGCUCAACUCCGAAAUGGCAUUGGAAACUACCUUGCUCGAGGGUUGGAGGGGGGACUGGAAUGCUUGGUGUAGCAGUGAAAUGCGUAGAUAUCAAGCGGAACACCAGUGGCGAAGGCGAGUCCCUGGACAACUCCUGACACUGAGGCACGAAAGCUAGGGGAGCAAGCAGG
rnacentral:rRNA from 1 species